CCCUGCAUUCCCUGUGUUCCCAUUCAGUGACCAGCACUGAGCAGACUCACCAUGGAGCUGGGGCUGAGCUGGCUUUUCCUUGUUGUGCUUUUACAAGGUGUCCAGUGUGAGGAGAAGCUGGUGGAGUCUGGAGGUGGCUUGGUGCUGCCUGGAGGGUCCCUAAAACUCUCGUGUGUGGCAUCUGGAUUCACCUUCAGUGGUCACGACAUGAACUGGGUCCGCCAGACUCCCGGAAAGGGGCUGGAGUGGAUCGGAAGCAUUACCAAUGCUAACAGCCAACACCACGCAGACUCUGUGACGGGCCGAUUCACCAUCUCCAGAGACAACGCCAAGAACACCCUGUACCUGCAAAUGAGCAUUCUGAAAAUUGAGGACACGGCCACCUAUUUCUGUACAAGAGACACAGUGAGUAAAUGUUGCUGUGAGUCAGACACAAACCUUCCUGAAUGGGGCUCGGAGCCAGCAGGGGGCGCGGAGUGCACGCUGAGCUCCACUUCCCAGAGCAAGCACUCAAAGGCUUCAAAGGCUGCACUGCUCUGGGUCUCUGCUGCCUGA